AAAGAAAGCAGAGCUCAGCAACAGGGGCUGCUCCCUUCUGCCUUCUCUGAACAGAGAGAUGGUCCUGGAUGUGUCACUGACUGAUGGGAACAGAUGUGACACCAAUGCUCAAGAGGUGAAGCAGCUGCUGUCUGAGGUCAAAAGGAGCACAGCUUCAGGAUCACAGUCCUGGCAGUGGCUUUCAGACACUUCCUGCCAACCUCAACCACCCAUUAACUCCUUUCUCUCACAAGGACCUUCAAACAUUUCCUUUGUGUCAUCCCCUUAUAUGUGAAACAAGCUGCCAGAAGAAAAAACUGCACCACCAGAAAUCCAACACCUUUAGAAUCCCUCCUUAAGACCUCUCCCUCUGGAGACACUGCCCCAACAGCUGCCAAGGUAGGAGCAAACUUCAUUCUCAUUUUCUCAUUGUAACAAGGUGUAUUUUCUUCCCCUAUAAUCCCACACUUUUAUUCAUGCAUUGCCUCUUGCCAUUAAACUCUGUUUGCUCUCUGGGUGGAAAACGUGGCAAAUCAUAACUGUUUGCACCUUGCCAAGUUUUGUAGAGACCAAAUCCCACAUGAAAUUAUAACUGUUCUUUGUCACACCUAGGAAAAACAUUCAGAAAAUGAGAGUCCUACAAAUUCUUUUGUGCAAAAUUCCUCCUACAAAAUGGAAAACAGAGCAGCAGGUUCUGUGCAAGGAGCUGCAGGACCAGCACACAGAGACUGUCUGGCUGUGCCCAUAGAGGACACUAGUGCAAGGACCUGAACUCACUGCCUGGAUCUGCAGUUUCCAGCAAUGAGAGGGGGAAAAAAAAAUCAAUGCUUGCCUCAGAACAGGGCAGGACACCCAGGAAAGGUGAGAAGGUACACAGGAAAAGGUUUAUCACAAUAAGGUACUGGAAUGCAGGAAACAUCAAAAAGGGGAAAGUAGGGGGGAAAGUGGAAAGCCAUGAAGAUAAAAAGCACUGCAGUUACAAUCUUAGGUGGCCAUAUCUAAACCUGAGCAAGCCUGGAUUAAGAUUGGGCUCAUCACAGGAAACCUGUCUGCUGUGGCUGUAACUGUGAAUGGUCUCUGGACUAUGCUGGAAGGGGAAAAACACUUCCCUCUGUUAAUGAGAGUGGAUUUGCAAAAAGCAAACACCCUUGUGGACACAAGUGUGUGUGUGUGGUAGCAAGUGCUGGGGUUUUCUUUAAGCUUGUAAUUUAAAUGAGAUAAAGGCAGCACUCCCAGCAGAUUUUGUUCUGACUUACUAAAACAUGUGAAAACUUCAAAUUGCUUUGUCCCUGCCAGUAACCACCAUAUGGCUACAGACAAAUUCUCCAUGUGGAUGCACCCAGAGCUACUAAUCUAAUACAUAGCAAGUGCCAGGAGCACUUCUGCAUGCAAGCAACUGGUAACAUCUAGGCUGUAAGAAAUUGUACUGCUCUGUUCACAACAUCAAAAGUGCUGCUUCAAAAUAAAACUCAAUUAUCUGCA